GUGCUUGCUUAGGCAGCACAUAGACUAAAAUUGGAACGAUAUGGAGUAGAUUAGCAUGGCCUCUGCACAAGGAUGACACGCAAAUUCAUGAAGUGUUCCAUAUUAAA
rnacentral:snRNA from 1 species